rnacentral:rRNA from 1 species
UACGUAGGUGGCAAGCGUUGUCCGGAGUUAUUGGGCGUAAAGCGCGCGCAGGCGGUGCGGUAAGUCUCUGGUGAAAGCGCUCGGCUUAACUGGGCGAGGGCCGGGGAGACGUGCCACGCUGGAGGGGAGCAGAGGCGAGUGGAAUUCCGGGUGUAGUGGUGAAAGUGCGUAGAGAUCCGGAGGAACACCAGUGGCGAAGGCGGCUCGCUGGGCUCUACCUGACGCUGAGGCGCGAAAGCGUGGGGGAGCGAACCGG